AACCCUUGUCCUUAGUUACCAGCACGUUAUGGUGGGCGACUCUAAGGAGACUGCCGGUGACAAACCGGAGGAAAGGUGGGGAUGACGUCAAGUCAUCAUGGCCCUUACGGCCUGGGCUACACACGUGCUACAAUGGUCGGUACAAAGGGUUGCCAAGCCGCGAGGUGGAGCUAAUCCCAUAAAACCGAUCGUAGUCCGGAUCGCAGUCUGCAACUCGACUGCGUGAAGUCGGAAUCGCUAGUAAUCGUGAAUCAGAAUGUCACGGUGAAUACGUUCCCGGGCCUU
rnacentral:rRNA from 1 species